rnacentral:rRNA from 1 species
CUGCUGCCUCCCGUAGGAGUCUGGGCCGUGUCUCAGUCCCAAUGUGGCCGGCCAACCUCUCAGUCCGGCUACUGAUCGUCGCCUUGGUGGGCCGUUACCCCGCCAACUAGCUAAUCAGACGCGAGUCCAUCUCAGAGCGAUAAAUCUUUGAUGCCCAGUGCCAUGCGACACAGACAUAUUAUGCGAUAUUAGCAGCUGUUUCCAACUGUUAUUCCCCAUCCAAGGCAGGUUA